rnacentral:rRNA from 1 species
UACAGAGGGUGCGAGCGUUAAUCGGAAUUACUGGGCGUAAAGCGCACGCAGGCGGUCUGCUAAGUUUGGAGUGACAGUUGGUGGCUUAACUGCCAAAGUGCUUCGAAAACUGACAGACUUGAGGGCUUCAGAGGGACACGGAAUUCCGGGUGGAGUGGUGAAAUGCGUAGAGAUCCGGAGGAACACCAAAGGCGAAGGCAGUGUCCUGGGGAGUACCUGACGCUCAGGUGCGAAAGCCAGGGGAGCGAACGGG